UUUUCAUCUUCAGGCAAUAUCAUAUCAGCACAAAACUGUCAUUAUGUAUGAGAGACUGCUAGGAGUGGACCACUGCAGCUCUAUAUCAGCCUAUUUCCAUUUGGCUUAGUAUUGGUGUGGGGCUUAGAGGAUUGUUGUGGCGUUGAGAUUAUUGUAUAGAGUUAGGUAUCUAAUAAUGUUAAGACAUGGUGAGGAUCAUCCUGAAAUGUCUAAUGUUGAUUUUUACAUUGGUUUACUACUGAGUAAUGCUGGUCAUUAUGAAGAAAGUCAGGCAUAUCUGGAAAGUGCUCUUAGAUUACAAAACAAGUUUCAUGGAAGUCAAUCAAUUACUGUAGCCACAAUUCAUCAUCUUCUUGCCAACUCAUUGACUCACAUUGGAGCAUUUGCUGAAGCUAAGCA